GAUGAACGCUAGCGGAGGGCUUAACACAUGCAAGUACGAGGGGUAAAGUGGUAGCAAUACUAUGAGACCGGCGGACGGGUGCGUAACGCGUAUGCAACAUACCUUGUGCAGGGGGAUAGCCCGUGGAAACGCGGAUUAAUAUUCCAUAGUCCAGCUAUAUCGCAUGGUAUAGUUGGUAAAGAUUUAUCGGCACAAGUUUGGCAUGCGUCUGAUUAGCUUGUUGGUAGGGUAACGGCCUACCAAGGCUACGAUCAGUAGGGGUUCUGAGAGGAUUAACCCCCACACUGGUACUGAGACACGGACCAGACUCCUACGGGAGGCAGCAGUGAGGAAUAUUGGUCAAUGGGCGGAAGCCUGAACCAGCCAUCCCGCGUGAAGGAAGACAGCCUUACGGGUUGUAAACUUCUUUUCUGUCAGAAGAAUAAGCUUGUCGAGACGAGUGAUGCCGGUAUGACAGGAAUAAGCAUCGGCUAACUCCGUG
rnacentral:rRNA from 1 species